rnacentral:lncRNA from 1 species
AGCAAAAGGUAACUUUUGCAAUGGGCCCCAAACUUUGGGAGACAGGAAUUGAGAAGGAUUUCCAGGCAAGGAAGAGCUUGUAUGCUGACGAGGAAGGUGUGGGAAGAACAGCAGGAGAGAAGGGGAGACUGGCUUUGGGUGGGGGCGGCGGCAGCCCCGCCGAGGGGCGGCUUUAACUGCCAAGCUCUGAAGUUACGUUUGUUCUAUAGGUAACGGAGAAGAGCGGGCUUGAGAGCAGGGGAAACACACUGAACAUAAUGCUUGUAAAAGAAAUUUCUGCUUACUGAGGGAACUGCUCUGAGAGCAAAGUCGAAGGGAGGCUGACUAGCAGAUGGUGGAGUCAGGAGUGGAGCUGUUUGGUGACAAAGAAAUGGCAAUGCCAUGCAUGGAACACAAGGCAGGUGCGCAAGGCUCGACACCUGAGCCGGCUUGCGGGGUAGAGAACCAGGAGCCCCACCACAGGGAAUCCUCCCAGGGCAGAGGAAGGUCCUUCUACAGAUGGUCAUGCCCAAUGCUGCCCCCUCUGACCGAGGACGCUGCUGAGCUCAGCGCUCAGUGGCUCCUACAGACAGUCUAAUAAAGGCAAAAGAUCAACAUUUCAGGACAUGACUGGCCACGGCUAUGUGCCCCCAUGAGAGUCAGUUUGUCCAAACACCACCUGAAGACCAAGUGUGGAGAAAGUGGCUUCUCCCCCUUUGCUGAACAGGAGGAAUUUCCCCAAGAAGAAAAGCCGAUCAGGAGGAUCGUCAGGUUUUCUGUUACAUCUCUGAACACAGGUAAGUAACAAAAUACCAGAAUUGAAUACUUAACAUACUUUCACCCUAGGCUUCUUCCAUGGGGCUCUGGAAGAGAGACCAUCGCAGAGAGGACACUCCUGUGCUCAGGAGGUGUGUGGCCCUGAGCAGCCAGGUGUGUGUCCAAACUUUGCAGAGUAUUCAGAAUGCACUAGGCUUUCUCAAUCUGCACAGGGAUGGAGCGACACUUAACAGGUUGGAGCAUGAGCCUGAAGGUCUAAUCAAUGUAGGUGUCCUCCUUGUCUCUAGUGCCCGUGCUCUUACAGUCUCUACUUCACUCUUUGACUUUUUGUCUCUUCCUUUCUGCUAUUAAAGGAAGACUUUCCCUGGUUUCUAGAGAAUCAUUCUAAUAUUCCACCUGAUGCCUGUGUUCCCUGCAACAUUCCUGUCCCCCCUCUUCCCAUUGCUCCAUUUAUGACCCCACCAUGGUAAAGAAGGUCUGGGGUCUGACAGGAGAGCUGGGGUGGACCUGGGUUUGGCACCCAGCAAGCAUCUAUCACAUGGCUGCCCUUUGCAUGAGGUGGCCCUCACUGAUGCUUGGACCCUCGUCUAAACCGCAAAGACUCUACACCCUCUCUGUAGGCACAGGACACCUGCAGCCCUGGGCUCCCGGGGCAAGGUGUCCACAGACAAUGGCCUUCACUUUCCUGUUGGAUUUUGUAGAAAAGCAAUGCCUACAUUGUCAAUGAACUGACUUAUAGUGCAAUAGCCAUUAGCAAUGAGCAGCAACAGACUGCAUGCACACAUAGUAACCUACAGAAUUUGUUCUUUCAUUUGAUUUUAAAAGACAGCAUUUAAAAAAAAAAGAUAGCAUUUUAAAUAUGCCAAACAACUUAACUGGCAAUUUGAUAGUUUAAAUUAUAAUCAGUGGUGGCCUCUCUCACAUAGAGAUUCUCUUCAUAAUACAUGUGUGUUAAAUGCUCACAGACUGAAUCUGUGUAUCGGGGUAUUUACUUUAGAGAGGGGACUAUCCCUUCGUCUAUUCUUCUAGAAGCCUAUUCGACUUUUGUGAACAAGGAGGCUAAAGCGACUGACAUCUCAGUUGUCCCCCCACUCCGCCCUCCACAGCUUUUUUUAAAAGGCAGCGAGCAAGCUCAGGGGCCUGGCUCUGUCACACUGAGCGGCGGGUCUCCUUGGUGGCUGGCUCUCCCCAGUCCCGGGAGACCUGCUCAAGGUCAGCCAAGCCGGCUCCAAGGAGCCACCCCUGACGGACCUGGAGCAACCCGAGCUCUGAGUCACUCACUUGGCAAAGAGCUGAUGUGGGAAAAGGCAGAAGUCAGAGAGGCUGGCGUGAACGGCAGAUGGGUCAUGGGCGAGGAACAGAUCACUCGCUAUGAGGGACCAGCUUUAGCAAAGAGAAGACAUGAGAUGGGAGAAAAGGCGCUGGGGAGCACUGGCAGGGACAUGGGGUCAGGACCGUUCAACACACACGCAAAUGAGCAGAGGAGCUUUUGCUCCCAGUAAUUUCAAGCCCUCAGCAGUCACAGUAAAGGAACAAACCUCCAUCCCAGAGAGCUUUUGAGAAAGGCAACUUUCCAGGAGAAACUGACUUUAUCAAUGACUUAAGUUUGAUUAAGAUAACAAACAACUAAAAACAAGGGGGACAUUAUAUCUUACUUCCUGAAAUUUCGAUCACACGAAUAAAGCAGAGAGACGGGUGGCUCUGUUCUUCAAAAGGUGACUUAUAUAUACAUUACACAGGAGGGUUCAGGUUCGAGGCCACAAAAACUCAAAGGGUUGACCAGAAGAACAUUGUGUGGUCAUUUUAUGCCUUCAUUUUCUUUUUGAGUUUCCUUAAAGAAGGGAGCGCUUUAAAAAAAAAAGAGAGACCCAUCUUGCACCCUAAAAACAUAAUACUCAAAUGCACAUACUGAGGAGCUGUGAAAAAUGUUAAUGGCAAUAAUAAUAAUACGUAUUCUUCAUAAGGCGACAUCUAUCAUUUAUAAACUCAGAAAAGAACAAGGUGUGAAGGAACUUUAAAUGUGAAAAUAGCCUUAAACAACUGAAAACAUCUGGAUCAUAAGACAAAACCGUGCUAUUCACAACAAUCCUCAGAGCACUUUUUUUUUUUUUUGGUUUCUGUCCUAUUUAUGGAAAACUGAUAGGAAAACAAUUUAAAGUACCUUGCCCACAACAACCUGGCAGUAUUUAAGAAUUAGAUCUGGGGGCCCAGAUUUCGAGCUACAACCCAGGGGACAUUGUGUUAAUGAGUGACAUGCCCGAAUUCUUUCUAAUCUUCCCGGAGCAGGACCUGGCUACAUAAUAGUACUGACAAAGCUCGAGAUGAUGCCUGUGAAGGUAACUCACCAUCUUCUCAGGUGGUUCUUCCAGGGCAGUGGAGCGGGGGCGGGGGGGGGGGAGGGCCUGGUCCGGGGGUCCUCCACUUCUCCAUGUCAACGCUGUCCCAGACACUUCCUGCGGCUGUGUCAUGGGACCUUGCCCAAUUCCGUGGUGGCGUGUUUGUAUUCUUAUUUGCAUAUGGAAGACUGAGGCUCAGAGAGGUCAGGGCCAUUGGCAGGUUAGCAAGCAGCGGACCUGAAGUUGCACUGUGUCUACUCAACCCCCCCAGUUCUUUCCCAGCCACCAGCACCGCCAAUUCCCCUGCUGUCAGGAGCCAGCUGGGUGGGCACAGCCGUCCCACAGCUGGGGAAGGGAGGGAGGGGCAGGGAGGGGUCCCGGGACUCAUGACAAGAACCAAGAGGCCCCUGAUUUCUAGGGCCUUUUUAAGUACUUCAAAGUCCCAUGUUCCAGAAAAGCCCUCACUUGUGGGCGAACCCGGAUGGGUAGGCUCCUAGAAGGAGCAGAGCAGGAAAGAGAGGCCCCAUGGGAAACAAGGCGCAUUCAAUCCACCUGGGCGCAGGUGCAGUUCCACCACCUGGGGACCAGGGGUGGGAGAUCUGAGUUCCCCCGGCCAACAGGAACCCAAGGCUUUCAUCUCAGAGCUUCUCCCAUGUGGUAAGGUAACACAGUGAUAAGCCUGAUGGACUGCAGGGUGCAUCACUGACACGUGCGGCUGGCUUUUUCUUUAAUCUCUCUCUUUGCAGAAUUCCACCAGGCACAGGCCGAGUCUUCCUUGUCAGCCUAAGGUGGAUGCUAAAGCUCCUGGAGCAAUACCACCCCCCCAGCACAGUCUUGCCUGAUGCAAUAACAGGCCAACAUAACAUGCCCAGCAUGCCAUCCAGGGCUGGGCCGUUACACAGCGAUGUGAGAAAAGAGGCCGGAGGAAGACACAAUCAAGUUGCAGCGUGUGGUCACAGCACGUGGAGGGGGCACCAAGGCUAGGACUUGGUGACCUCCCAAAGGCUGUUGUGACCACUCACCAGGUCCCUGCAGGCAUGAGUUAAUUCAAUUUCCUGAACAUUCCCAACCUCCUCCCUCAGCGACACGGAGCUCUCAGCACCCUGUCAGAGAGGAGGGGCCAUCUGGACCUUGACCACCAUCCAUCCAUCCACUUCCUCAGCUUCUUCGUGCGAAGAUGGGUCCCGCUAUGGGAUGUUUCCGGGCUCACCAUCAAGAAGGAAUCUGGGAGAGGCAUGGAGGAGGGACAGAGCACCCAGCAAUGCCCUUGAGGGACACACUCCUUCCCGUGUCCCCUGGCUGUCCUCCAACACCUGCCCCACCCUCUCAGUCUGCCCCUUGGCUGGCAUUUAAGUCCUGCCCUCUCAACAUGACCUCUCCUGGGAGGCCAUCCUGCAAAGAUCUCUGUGUCCAAAACUCCUCGGGCACUAGCUGCUGGCCAC